CCUACGGGAGGCAGCAGUGGGGAAUAUUGCACAAUGGGGGAAACCCUGAUGCAGCGACGCCGCGUGAGUGAAGAAGUAAUUCGUUACGUAAAGCUCUAUCAGCAGGGAAGAAACACUGACCUUACGGUCAGCAGACGGUACCUGAGUAAGAAGCCCCGGCUAACUACGUGCCAGCAGCCGCGGUAAUACGUAGGGGGCAAGCGUUAUCCGGAUUUACUGGGUGUAAGGGGAGCGUAGACGGUGCGCCAAGUCUGGAGUGAAAUGCCGCAGAUUAACUGCGGAACUGCUUUGGAAACUGGCGAACUAGAGUGCGGGAGGGGUAAGCGGAAUUCCUAGUGUAGCGGUGAAAUGCGUAGAUAUUAGGAGGAACACCGGUGGCGAAGGCGGCUUACUGGACCGUAACUGACGUUGAGGCUCGAAAGCGUGGGGAGCAAACAGGAUUAGAUACCCCAGUAGUC
rnacentral:rRNA from 1 species